AGUUGAGCUAGACUCUGGCUUUCACAGGCAGCGAGAUCAAGGGGGGGAGGAAAAGUCUCUCCUUUAAAAAAAAAAAAAAAAAAAAAGCGAUUUAAGCCCCUUUCCAGCGGCGCUUUCAAAACUAGAACUGCGAAGCUGGCUUCGGUUCGCGAUCCUCCUCUCUGGCUCCGGGCUGCGCGCAGAGUCUGGGUGGCGAGCGAAUGGUGCCUGCGAUCUUCUGCCUCGGGGAGCCGGCUGUCUUCCUUGUGCUAAAAAAACGGAGGAAGUCUGUCUGCCACAGGGCAGAGGGUGGUAUCCAAAGGGUCUCCUCUCCUUGAGUGACUGGUUCCUCCAUUGGAUCUCAGCUCGUAGCUCCUGACCUCAAGCAAGUGCUACUGAAGUGGAAAUGUCUUAUAUCCUGUUUUGUGAUUCCCUGCCUCAGAGCUGAGUCACCCCUGCCUGAAGAAAGGAUCCUUCAUCCCAAGGCUCACUCACUUCCUAUCCAAGCCAUCUCAAGCUAAAGGCAAAUGAACCAAGGAACCCCUCCUGCGCCUGGACCUGAAGAUGAAGGGCUAUAAUCCCAGCUUCUCAGGAGGACAAGGCGGGAGGAGUUCCAGGUCACUCUGGGAAAUCUAGAGACUCUCAAAAAAAAAAAAAAAAUCAAAAGGAUUGGAAACUUCAAGGAGUCAUAGUACAAUGGAUAACCUUCUCAGUGCACAUGGGUCCCGUGCCCUAGCACCCAAUAGGCUUCUAGUUGGCAUUGCUCGCCUGCCACUUCCUCCAUUCCAACCGUCUCUCUUCACUCUGAAACCCAAAGCCUGCUCAAGACCCAGUUGGUUCAGAGCUCAGGUUCAUGUGUCUUAGGAGAGGGUUCUAUUAGUCUGGAAAAUGAGUGCAGCCAGAAGACAAGAAACUGGCUGGGGGGGGGAUUGGGGGAAGGGAAGAUGACCGAGGAGCCCCCCCCCCUUCUCUCUACCCCAUCCCAUGAUUUCCUUUGUCUCCUGUCCCAAUCCCAACCCAUCUCCCCACCCCCAGCCUAUGAGCCUGGAGGCUUCCCAAUAAAACAGUAUUGUAACCUUAUCUAA
rnacentral:lncRNA from 1 species